AUGAUUCACUUUUGCUUAAUUCUUUUCACUGUGCUGUGCCUUCGGGGAAGGGAGGGAGAAUUCUAUUUACCUGCCAGGCUGCCUUGUCCCACAGGGGCUCAGCAAGAGGUUUUUUUGUUUUUUUCUGGUGAGAGGUUUCAGCAAUUCCCAACGGAGGGAGGGUCUGUCUGGAUGGAGGACAAAGUGGAGACAGAGGCUGCGUCCACAGGUCCCUGCUCUCUCUUUCCUGGUUUCCUCCCAGAUGGAGUCUUGCCCCUGCAAAUUGCAUUUCCUUCCUUGGUUUCCUGCUGGGGACCUGCAGUGUCUGGAUAGAAAGUCCAUUUGGCAAAGAGCCUCUGGCGUCUCCAGAGAAUUCUAGACACCUUGAGGUAAUAUUUGGGGGGCUCGCUGGACAGGUGCCCACCGUGCGCACUUUGUCACGCAGGAUUCGGAGGGAGGCAGAGUAGGGCGUGGCGGGGAGCUUUGGAGAGAGACCUCGUGCACUCUGCUCUCUCUCCACAACCUUCUGGGGCUCCCAGUGGCCAGAGGCCAAAGUCCACUGACAGCACUGUCUCCAAGUCCUUCCUUCCUUCAUUCAUGCAAGCCUCCAAGUGCUGUCAGACCAGCAACAAGAAAUCAUAGCAGCUCACCUUUGUGUGUGCUUAGGGAAACCCUUCUAAAUCAUCGUGGUCUUUAUAGUCCUUGGAAACAGAACGCACCCCUGCUCGCCCCCUACGACCCCCACCCAGGCUGGAUCCCGGCACCCCUCCCACCAUCCCCGCAUCAUCCGUCCAUCAUUCUUCACCCGACCCCACCCCACCCCUCUGGGACCCCCCGCAGUCCUCUCCGCUGUCUGUUCUCCCUGUAGCCCCCAGAGGGCGCGUGAGCAGCAGGCCGGGCGCGUCCCUACUCUGCCCCGCGACCUGGGGGCUCCCGCGUCCCUGGGGGUGGGAGUCCAGCCUUCCGCGCCCCGGGGCCCUCAUAGCCUGCUCCGCCCUCUACCCACUUGGAUCUCCUUGCUCCUCUUCCAACACACCUACCCUGGCGCCUUUGCAGGUGUCAGGACCUCCAACAGGUAUGCGCGUCCUCAAAUGCUCCUCCCCGCCAUGUGGUAUUUGCUCUGUAUGUACUGAGCGACUGAACUUACUGAACAACCUGAGCUUGUGAGGCGGGAACAGGCUAGUAUGCCCAGGCGCAGAGGGAAGCCGGCAGGACAGCCUGGGUGUCAGCCUGCGCGGCCCCUGGGGGCGUGUCCGGCGGUCACUGGCCGAAGGUGGGGCAGGGUUGAGCCCCUCUCAGGGCGCAGGCCCCCUGCACGCCAACCUCAUGGGGCAGGAUGCAGCCACCUGGUGGAGAGCCCAUCCCGGGGGCCUGGCACACGGUGCUGAAUAAGUGUCCACCGGCUGAAACCCUGGAGGAUAGGGCUUCCUGGGGUGUCGCCUAGCUUGGUGUCCCCCUGCCUGUUUACCCGGGUGGGGGGAACUGCGGGGGAGGUGGAGGCUGGACAGUGGGGCCACCAGUGGCAUAAGCCCCUGGGGCCAGUCCUGACGGAGUCCAGGUGACCAGUACUGGUUCCAGGCACAGACUCGGGUGGCUCUGGAAGCUGCGAGGAAAGAGGAGCUCUGACCCGUGACCCCCAGGCGUGAGCUUCAGCCUAGAUUCCCUCCAGCUAAGCUGGUCUCUUUGGGCCCCUUGCUGACCCACUAGAGAAGGCAAUGGCACCCCACUCCAAUACUCUUGCCUGGAAAAUCCCA
rnacentral:lncRNA from 1 species